UGUCAAAAUGUCUAUCUGUAUUCAGGAAUUGGUCUUUGGACUUCUAGUUCUUACCAAACAUUGAUCUUUCAUUAUUUUGUUUAAGAGUUGGUCUCCAUUUCAUGCUCAGUUCUCAGAGUGCAAUAAUAGAGUUGGGUUUAUUUUGUUUAUCAUGUUCAAUGAAGACCUAUAGAUGCAACAAUAAAGAAGAGUAAUAUGGUUACGGUAAAUGAAAAUGUUAAAGGGAGGGAAAAAGUGAAAAAGAUGAAUUAGGUGGAAGAAGAGAGGAUUGAGGAGAUUAGUGUUAGGUUGGUGGGCAGAACUGGUGGUGGGGAUGGAUCUGCCUCUGCCCAGUGGGUUGAUGGAUGUUAUUAGGUGGAAAACAUGACUAUCAACAAUCAAGGAGAAUCAAGAAAUUUUUAUUAUUUCUAAUGCAAUUUUUUCCCUCUUUCUUGCUUCCCUUUCUUUUUCCUAAUAAGUAAACAUAUGCCAAAAAGGCACAUUAAAAGGAGGUGCAAUCCAUGUAUAGAGGGUGUACAUCAAAAGAGAAGCUAGAUAUUUUUGUAUGAAACAACAAUAACAUAAAUUGUCUACAAAUCCCAUAAAUGGUUCAAGGAAGAAUUAAUCUUGUUAAGAACAAGCUUCUCCAUGCUACCAAUGGACUUUCAAUUCCCUUUUCCCCAAAUGCACAGAUGAGGAGGACCUGCAUUGGUUCUAGUAUACUGAGGAUGUUGACCUUCAAACAUAUUUGUUUAUCUUAAGCUUGAAAAAAAAGAUAGAGGUGUUUUCUUUUUGGGAAUCAUGUAACAUAUUUCAGAAAAAGGAAAAGAAAAACCUGUUUGAAAAGAAUGCUUUUGAAGCCAUAUGGUCCUGUUGUCAGUUUUGGCUACCAAACUAUUGCUUUGACAGGGCUCAUAAUAGGUGAGGUUAAGCUUAUUCAAGUUGCUGUUAGCUUAAUUGUUGCUGCUAACUCUUGUGUAGGAAUGCAGUUUUCAUCAUAGUCUGAACCAUGAGUGGAAAAUGGCUGGUGCAAAAGAUAGGCAAUGUGUUAUGGAUUGGAAAAAGCAAAAAAUAGUUACUCCCAUAUGGAGACUAGUCUGUACAAAAUCUAGUUCCUCUAAAGUGAAGGAACUGCAGGUUGAGUUUGAAGAUUUGCAUGAUGUGGGUAAAUGUGGAAAGCAAGAAGAUGGAAUUAAAGUCCUUCCACUCCUAUGAAGAUUUCUAGAGAAGAUUGGCAGAAACUUACCCGGUGUUCACUAUAUUCGGGAUGUUGCAAAUGCUGAUUCACUGAUAUUAUCACUGGAUCUGUAGAGGGGAUUUUGUCACACACUGGUUUUCAUUUUAUAAGAGAAAGCACAGAAGGUGGUUGUUGUUGUUGGUGGUUACAUUGGCGUGGAGAUUGCUGCCGCAGCUGUUGGUUGGAAACUUGAUACAACGCAACUAUUUUUGCGUAUGGGCAGACAAGCAGUGGAAAGACAUACACAAUGUCUGGCAUUACUGAACAUGCUGUAGCUGAUUUAUUUGACUACAUACAUAUGCAUAAUGAUAGGGAAUUUGUAUUGAAAUUCUCUGCAAUUGAG